AGAGAAUACCUUCUCUAAUACAGAGAGAAGCUGCUGAUUUAGAAAACCGUAAGACUUUAAAGAUUCAGAAAAUCUUGAAUAUUAUUAACGCAUAUGAACAAUUCCCUUGACUUAAGCUGUGGACUGUGCUACUUCAGCUCUAGGAUUUUCCUAGCAGAUCUUGACCUUGAAGAGAGACAAUCUUUGCUUUGGGAUGGGAGGAGCUAGGGUGGCGCAAAAUCACUGCUGCGCAUGAGUGCUGCUACCAGGCGCCUUGGCAGGCUUGCUAGGCCUUGCUUGGCCUGGAAGUGGCAUCAGAAGACCAGGGUCCUUGAGAAUACCACCAGGCUACCCUGACCUUUGCCUCUGCACCCUUCUCCUUUGUCUCCACUUCCGGACAAUUUUCUGAUUUGUCUGUUCUACAGGUAUAGCUUGAUGCUUUUGAGAAGCAUUGAUGGCGCCUACCAGUAGACACUGAACAAGCAACACCACAAAACCCAGACAAGAGCAGACUGCAUCCAUCCUGAGUGGAAACCACACCCACGAUCCUUGCUAGAUUCAUUGUUAGUCUAUCCUCUGAGCUUGAAGAACUGCUUUCUGGACUAAAGAACCACAGAAGAAUAAAUAGCUGAAACCCGAACCCUGACAAGGCACUGCCACAUGUCUUUCCUUCACUGGAAAGACUCCUUGGCCCCAUGUUCCAUUUUUAGGCCCUUCCGGAGCUUUGGGGUGGGUGGGAAAUAGGUUCCCUCCUGUUGUCUGCUAAAGUAGACAAAGCAGGUUUUGGGAGCCGGAUAGCAAAAGAUUUAAUUGGUCAUUGGUCAUUAUUAGGUAUGCUCUCUGGUCCUGUUUCUUACCUUCUUUCCCUAUAUCCUUGCCCUACCUCCUAGGCUACUACUAAGUCCUAAGUGAACCCCACUGCCAGGGAAGGAAUCCAGGAUUGGUGAGAGGAUGAGGCAGUGUGGGCCUCUGGGAGGCAGGCAGUGGCCUAGGUGAGAGCCAGCGGGGAAGAAGCGACGUACUUGCUCCCUUCACCAGGCCCCUUGGCAUUCUCCUCAUGUUUCCAGCCCCUGGAAGGAUUGAUGCAUCUGCCUAUGAGCUUGUGAAAAGGCAGGGACUGAGAAAUCGCCUUUGUGGGCUGGGCUGGGGGAGGGGCUGAGGCUUCUCUGGGAGAUGUCCAAUGAGUGGCCAGUGCCGAAGGCUUGGCAUCUUAAUGAGGACUGAGCGCUGACCAGGGAAUGAGAAUGAAACAUCUGGGCUAGGGCCAGCGCCCUGUGCCGCAGCACCGGGGAAUGUCUGCCUUCCUGCUGCUGCCAAGGACAGCAACAGAGCAGAUCUCUGGCCACUCUGACACAAGACAAGGAAAUGCACAGAGCCCCCCUGCUGGAGAGGAGAAGAUGUACCCCUCUCAGGGCACCAGGCCCAUCCACUUCAACCCAAGCACACAGCUACUAGUGAACUGACCUUUUCCUAACUGAUUCCUCCUGGAAGCCUCUGAUUUGCUCCCUUUCCUGCCAGCUAGAGAACUGUCUGCAGCCUGGGUAUCCCGUUCAGCUGAAAGCAGCUAAAGUAUGGGAAUUCCUGUAUCCCUACGAUCGUGGGCGUACUACAUCAUUAUCGACUAAGAGCUUCAGUCAAGUAUUUUUCUAUUUCAUGGAGUGACUAUCAUACUGGCAUGCAUAUUUGAAGGAGUGUUCAUAUCUUGGUUGUGGGAUACAACCCGAGAUUGUUUUCUAUUGAAUUAAAUCUUUAUUGUGAUAGCAUCAGAAAGGUUUAUACUAUAAGAACAGAAUUGACCCUAACAUGCUAGGAAAGCCUGAGGUAGAAGAACUCACCCAAGAGGUAGGAGAUUAGGCUUUCCGUUCUCAAAAUCAUUUUGUAUCAAUAGAUGCUUCAGCCCUUUCCCUUCAGUCCCUCUGAAAAAUACUAAUAUCCACAUUUGCUAUUCAAAACAAAUUACUCAUGUCUGACCCAAACCCUGAUUUUAAAAAGUCAUUAAAAAACAACCCUCUAGGGAUAGUUUAAUAUUGGUUCUUUUCCUGAUCCCUACUAAUAUUUUCAAUGAGAUUUUAAUUUUUUUUCACUUUUAUUGCUUUAGAAAAGACUUAGGGAUCUAUUUUAAAUACUAUCCUUGAUGAAAUAGCAAGAUGGAUUGAAAAUGGUGAGUGGAGAUAAUAGGGCUAGGAGACAGAGUCUUGCUGAGCGACCUUGGAAAAAGCAUUAUGAUCUUUUUGCCUCUCUUUCUUAAUCUACAAAACAAACCAACAAACCAACAAAAACAAAGUCCACUGCUAACAACUCUCUGCCUGCCACAGAGGGUUGUUAUGUCAUCCUGUUGGAUGAGCCCACAGUGGUUGAAGUGUUUGUGGGCUGUUCAGUCCCCCAAGUAUGUAGAACCCACUCUUUGGGAGGGAUGUUGCACACAGUCUUGUUGGGUGGGGAGCUCAGAGCUGCUGCUUUUAAAUUGCACUAUGUUUGGAGGAGCACUUUCUUUUAAUUCAUCCUGAAGUCUGGUUCCUAAAUGUUUUGUCAUUAGUGUUUUCUCCUUCGACUUACCAUCGAGCAUGUAGUAAUGGAAAAUGCCUUAGAAAACACAAGCAAACAGGGCUGUUUUACCCAUUUGGCACUGUCAUUGAAAAGGAACUGCUAGUAGAUUUUACUUUCAGGCUUAGAACCCUGAAAUUUUUUUAGGGAAUUGGCAUAUCUUGCUGCAUGUCAUUUCUUACCACUCACUAUUGCUUUUAUGAGUUUUUGUAGGUGUGAAAUAAGAAUGUUCAAAGCUUCCUCAAUAAAUUGGGUGGUGGAGCUAAUUUUGCAGGGAGAACUGAAGUAAUAACAAUCUAGAAGCAUUCUAGGGCCAAUGAUCUCAACAUGGGGAAAUAACUGUAAGGUAGAAAGAAGUGAUCUAGCAAAGACCAAACACUAGACAACACUUUUAAUAGCCCCAAGGACAACUAAAAAGGUGUGAGUGGAAAUCCCACUGAGGAACUGGUUUUGCUGAAAAUGAAGCCCUUGACAAUAAAUCCUGAGACCAGAUAACCAAGGCGACAGCAGUGAUGUCAUUUAAGCCCUAAAAAAAAUCUCAGGAGUUUAUGAUGCCAGCCACUAUUUUAAAUAGCUUGCAGUGGUGACUACUUGGCAAGAUAAAUCUUUCAAAUGUUAUUUCCUUUCAAUUCCCAAGUAAUCAUCAGGUGUGAUAUAUUUGAUGAGAUGCUGUGCAUUUAUUAAAAGGAUUUUGACCACUGCAAAUCAGAAUAAAGGUGAGUAUCGAAAAUGCUGGGAAAUUAAAAAAUGCUUAACUAAAAUUCAGAAUAUCUCAGCUUCUCUUUUCUCUUUUUACCUUGUGCUCAAUCUUGUUCUUAUAUGGGAAAGUAACACCUCUGUUUUAGACCUCGGUCUGGGUAAGUUUUCUCUUACAGUUGUCCAGCAGGCAGAAAGCAUCCGUUUUCUUUGAAAUGAGAAUCCAAAUUGGGUUAUUUUUUUUCAAGUUAUGGUGUAAAACUGGAGAAGGCAAGCUGGUUCAGGGUGAUGUUUUGUAAUUUAUUUGGAUAAUUUUGAGGAGAUGAGCCCCUUCAUAGCACUGGAAAAGUGUGCCUCCACCAAGUUGUCUCACUGUAGAACUUCCUAGAGACACAACUUAGUAGUUGAAUAUCGCAGAACAAUCAUUUGAGAAGUAACUCACUAAAUAUGGAAAAAUUGAAAUUCUAUGUUGCAGGAACAGCUAGAAUCUAUCUUAGUGUUUGAUUUCUUUCCCCUGUCUGAAAGUUUAGCCUUUUGUGAGGCCACUGGGAUAUUUUCAUUCCAUGGCUAGAAAAGAUUAUUUACAGUUCAGGUCUAAAAGCAAGGGCUCCCCUAACCCAUCAAAAUUGAAGACAACUCUAUAUGACUUCUGUUAUUUUUCUGAUACCCCACAGCAUCAAGGACCUUUUUUGAUUAUGUGUAUAGACCACAGCGGGUUAGCUUGAGGGAAUUGUCAAGUUAAAAUGAAAGAAAAGCAAGUUGGGGCAAGAAAACUCUCACAUUGAAUGUGAGAGAAAACAGUAGUGCUGUUCUGUUGAGCAAAGAGGUGUACUGUUCUGGGAGGAAUCACGUCCUUCAAGAUUGUUUUAGUUGUUGAGAUUGUGUGUGUGUGUGUGUGAGUGUGUGUAUGUGUGUGGCUGAGGGUGUGGAAGCAGAUAGGAAACACUUGUUUAUGAGUUUAGAUUGUCUCUUGAUAACAGUACAAACUCUGCUCAGUUUCUAGAAAUGUGGCAGUAAAAUUAGAGCACCAGAGGAACCCAGAGUCCUAUGUUUCUGUACAAAGUAAAGUUUUAUCCAAAUAUUUCCUUUAGAAACAUUCAGUCAUAGCAAGCCAAAUUAAUCUGCCACCUGCAAUUAGUAUCACACACAAAAAAAGUCAGUAGGCAGCAUCUGCAGACCCCCUCUGCAUGUAUUAUAGGCUUCUAUUCUAAUGGCACAGGGUCAUUGGUUCAUAUUAGGGGAUAACCCUGUAGGGCCUGAAUGGGGAGUAGGUUGAAGUGCACUACCCUGCCAGUAUUUUGGCAAUGCAUUCUGUCCCACAGAAAAACUAGUGUAGUUUUGGGGCUAUUUUUGUUUGAAAUGGUAUGAAAAAAGAGAGUUUUUGAAAAAGAUUUAAGGACUGUCUCCUAAGGCCAGCCUCCGCUAAAAGACUUUUCAGUUUGAUAGGCGGAGCUUCUAGCUGUGCCUAUCCCAGAGUGCAAAUUCUGCAAUGACUUCUGGGUGUCUGUUUUUCAGAACCAGGGACAGCACCCUUCCCCUAGGACCUGCUAUCCUGAUUGCAUUUCUAGACAGGGAAGAACAGGUUUUUCCUUUACUUCCUAUCCACUGAGCCUCAACUUGUAAGAAGUUUUAAGAUUAGGUGCUUGCAUCUUUUAUUCAUUACCAAACCUACAACAGCUUUUUGCUCCCCCAGCCCGAGUUAGCUGUUUCUGUUAUUUUCUUGACCACUAACAAAUAGUAGGGUUUGGACCUACUCAGGUCUCCUGGCUCAGAGAGCUGGAAAGAUGCUCAGAUAAUAGGCACACUUUGGAACAGGUACUCCCUGAAAAAAUCUAUAUAAGACACACUUGGCUUGUAAAUUCCUUAUAGGAGAUCACUUUCUGUUUUAAAAUUUCUGCAUAUUCCCCACAAUGUACAAGUCUCUGAUGUAGUGGGCAUAUGGAGUGAGCCAAUAUUCACAGUGGUUGAAUCAAUGAACUUGGAAGAUACAUAAGGUCCCAGCUAUGUUGUUAUUAGGCAUUUUGUAGACUCAAGGAGGGACCUUGCUUUGCCUCUCAACAUCCACCAUUUUUUCUGUUGGUCAGCAGCUGUUUUUGCCUUCAACAAUUACAGAAUAAAAAUAGUUCCUCAGAAAAUAAGUCUCCAGGCCAGAGUAAUGGAGUACACUGAGACAAGGAGAGUAGCAGAAGUACAUGCUGUCAACUUUGCUUUGUGAUUGGCCAGUUUUCAUAUAGCAGAAUAAUACAUAGACAUCCUAUGGCAGCACUGUCUUUUCUUGACUAGUUGGCAGCAAGCAUCCUUUCAAUUCAUGUCAGGAUGGGUCCUAUGGUGAGAAGGCGAGACAGCCACUGCAGAUUUCAUCUUAAAUACUGUCUCCUACUUCACAGAUAUUAGAUAGGUUCCACUUUCUCUGCCUCUAGGCUACCCAAGACUCAAUGCUCCACAAUAUCCUUUCUCUCACUUCCUCUUCCCCUUCACUGCUAAUUAUCAUAAUUUUUAACAGAUAGUAGAGGAGGAACAUAAGGAUUUCUUUUAAGGAUAGAUUAAGGGAAAUGAACCCAUUCCAAUACUUCCACUUGCCAUGCAGGAAGGGCCAUGGCAUGAGUCUCACUGGGGUGAAUAAGGUUAAAGUUUCUCUGCUGGAUCCUUUAGAAUAUGAAAGCUUUGAUUUAUAUUUAAAUCAUGGAACAAUCCUAAUUUAGAAAGGACAUAGACAGAAAAGACCAGCAGAAAUAAGAAGAUUUUAUUUUCUGUAGAACAGAGAAGAAGGAGUUGAAAAUCACUGUUACUGGAACAAAUGAUCUACUGGCCACUGGGAAGGUAGUAUGAGGCAGGAAAAGCUGAGCAAGCAUUUUUAGAUGUACAGGUGAUGCCAAUAGAAGCCUCAGGAGGGAAUAUGCCAGAGGAUCAAACCCUAUAAAGGUUGUCAGUACUUUUUCUGGAAAAUUCCUAAAAUCUUCAAGGGUAUUUCUAGCCCUCUUUUCAGAGGUAAGCUCAGUGCUACUUCUGGGUUCUUAAGGCAAAUGCCCAACAAACACCAAAGUCUUGUAUUUUCCACUCUCAGCCAGCACUGGCUGUCUUAAGUGGGAUUUUUUUCCCUUUCCUAAGUGUAAGGGACUUGUUUUCAGGAGAAGUGUCCUUUAAAUAUUCAGCUAAAACUGGAGGUAAUUUUUUGCAUGAAUGGCUUUUUACAGCUAGGUCUAAAGCAGAACAAAACUUGUAUUAAACUAAGUGCUACUUUACAUAUCUUAUUUCAAGGGAAAUGAAGGAUUUAUUGCCGUGUAAAUGAUAUACACUUAUUUGUUUCCUACUGGACAUUACAUGUCCCUUUAUCUUUAGGCUGAUGUUGUGCAGCAAACUUUCAAUAUCUGGAAAAUCAGCUGGUACCUACUUCAGUGCAUUAGUAGGAUAUUAUGUUCUCAGAUAGGAAUUUUGCAAAUGAAGUUUGGGUGCUGUUGUAACUGAUUUUCAUCCCCUAUCCCUAAGCUUUCUCUACUAAAUAUCUGUAAAGUGAUUCUGUCUUGUCUGAUACCAUGUGUUUACGUAUUUCCCAGUGUCUGUAUAAAUAUAUUGGCUAUCUGACAGGUUAGCUGGAUUAUGGCAACUGCUGAACAAUGGUGCAUUUGGCAUAUGGGCCACAUGCUCUAUGUGUACACUUGUUCUAGGGCCAAUCUAAUCUCCUUGCAGAGUUUAAGAAAAAUAACACAGUGUGGCAUUAAAAAUGGAUAUUGUUAAAACUGAACAAUGGAUAUUGCAUUGCCAAGUCAUCAUUAAUUAGUGAAGACUUUGACAGAAGCAGAGUUGAAACAUGUUUAAGUAGAUCUUAUGUCAUUUAUUUAAGCUCAAAUGAUUAUUUCUGUGUUCUAGUCUAUACAAAAAUAUUUCUUCAUGAUACUUGUUUGAUUUUCCCCCAGGUCACUGCAAAGUGUUUAUCGUGAUUUUUUGCCCAUGAUUUGGAUCCUAAAGUUGUUAAUAUAGGUGACUGGUUUUAGUAAAACUUGGUUUAACUAAUAGUUUCUUUUCCUUGAUGUAUCUUUUCAUUCUUUCUGUUAUUUUAAGAAAAAUUAAUCCAUUGGCUAUGCUAACUUCAUUUGCAUCAUGACAAGUCUUAGAGAAUCAGUCUAGUGAGAGGGCAUAAGUAAAACUUUUAAGAAAAGGUGUCCUUAUGCAAGAAAAAAAAAGAAAAGGAAAGAAAGAGAUAAAAAGAAAAAAAUUGUAACUUAGUAAGGCUCCAGGGUGGAGGGGGUGUGUUCCCAGUUGAUAUUAGGAUGCAUUGAAAAGGCAAGUGCUAUCCUUUCUCUACUCCCCAUCCCACCCUUCCUCCUCAACCUCAAAAGAAAACAGAAAAUUAUUUUUUUAAACUGUAUUAAUAAUUUAUGUUUAAUACAAAAGGAUGAUUUAAUGGUGUCACCAAAGGUCAUUUUUCUCAUUGUGCAUGCCCUCCACUCUCGACCCCACACCAUCUGGCCAUUCUUCACCCUCACACUUCCAUCCCAGGGCAAACAUGUGUCUCCAUCAGAAUCUAUGGGUGUUGAAGUUCAAUGUGGGGGCAGAGAUUUAACACCAUGACACUAAUGAAAACCAACCAUUCUUCACUUUCAAAUGGUUAAUUACUGCAAGAAGGCAAACUCUUUUCUUGGUUUUUGUUUAGAGACAUUUUAUACAUAUAUAUGUAUAUAUGUGUGUGUAUGUAUGGACAUAUGUAUGUAUAUGCACAUGUACAUGUAUAUAUGUAUAUAUUCAUCUCCAAUAUAAAUAUAAUCAUAUGUGAGAAUUAUAAAUAUGCCUUGGUCAUGUGUCUGUCUUUCUCAUAGUAUCAUAUUGUUACUGUUAUGUUAACUACUCCAUUUAUUGAUUGAUGAAAUUGUGUGUAGAUCUGUAUCCUCCUGACAUAGUUUAUGUAGGGUCUGUUCUCAAAUAAAGUAUAAAACAACAAUGUCCUUGGUUUAUUUGGAUUUAUUGCAUGAUAGGGAAAUGUGUCACAUUUAAAGGUGGAUUGAAAUUGGGCAGUUCCAAAAGUGUGGAAAGAUCAUGGGAUCUAAUGUCAUCUUGAGCACUGGGACUCUGCUUUACUGAGGG
rnacentral:lncRNA from 1 species